CCUACGGGAGGCAGCAGUGGGGGAUAUUGCACAAUGGGGGGAACCCUGAUGCAGCGACGCCGCGUGGGUGAAGAAGCGCCUCGGCGCGUAAAGCCCUGUCAGCAGGGAAGAAAAUGACGGUACCUGAAGCAGAAGCCCCGGCUAACUACGUGCCAGCAGCCGCGGUAAUACGGAGGGGGCAAGCGUUAUCCGGAUUUACUGGGUGUAAAGGGGGCGCAGUCGGCGAUGCAAGCCAGGAGUGAAAGCCCGGGGCCCAACCCCGGGACUGCUCUUGAAACUGCGUGGCUGGAGUGCAGGAGGGGCAGGCGGAAUGCCUGGUGUAGCGGUGAAAUGCGUAGAUAUCAGGAGGAACACCGGUGGCGAAGGCGGCCUGCUGGACUGCAACUGACGUUGAGGCCCGAAAGCGUGGGGAGCAAACAGGAUUAGAUACCCUGGUAGUC
rnacentral:rRNA from 1 species